AUUGAACGCUGGCGGCAGGCCUAACACAUGCAAGUCGAGCGGAUGAAGGGAGCUUGCUCCUGGCUUCAGCGGCGGACGGGUGAGUAAUGCCUAGGAAUCUGCCUGGUAGUGGGGGAUAACGUCCGGAAACGGGCGCUAAUACCGCAUACGUCCUGAGGGAGAAAGUGGGGGAUCUUCGGAUCUCACGCUAUCAGAUGAGCCUAGGUCGGAUUAGCUAGUUGGUGGGGUAAAGGCCUACCAAGGCGACGAUCCGUAACUGGUCUGAGAGGAUGAUCAGCCACACUGGAACUGAGACACGGUACAGACUCCUACGGGAGGCAGCAGUGGGGAAUAUUGGACAAUGGGCGAAAGCCUGAUCCAGCCGUGCCGCGUGUGUGAAGAAGGUCUUCGGAUUGUAAAGCACUUUAAGUUGGGAAGAAGGGCAGUAAGUUAAAACCUUGCUGUUUUGACGUUACCAACAGAAUAAGCACCGGCUAACUUCGUG
rnacentral:rRNA from 1 species